rnacentral:lncRNA from 10 species
GCUUAUAAAGAUAUCCCAAGCAAGCCAUGCUCCAGCUAGUCUCGAUUGUAUAGUAUUCCCCCAAGUCAUUCACACCCUUGCCUCUAUGCUUUUGUUCAUUCUGUCUUUCACAAUGCAGCUAAAUGAACACAUUUUCCUAAAGGCUUGCGUGACUCCUCAUCUUCUGAAGGCAGAAUGUAUCAUGAACUCCUCUGGACUUUUAGAAUGCUCUGUUCACAGUUCAGUGAAAUUAAUUAUGAUUUGUGUGUGCAUGUGUGUGUGUGUGAAUGUGUCUAUCCCCUUCCUCUCCCACAUCUACACAGAGAUUGUAAAAACCUCAAGGGCAUCAGCACUUUUCUUUGUCUGACUGAGCUCCACAGGGCCUUUUUACUUCUGGAAGGCUAGAGUUGGUGAGAGAAUUAUGAGUUCAGUUUUGGAUAUAAUUAAUUUUGGUCGCUUAUUGUAGUCUAGAAAUAAAUAUAGAUACAAAAGCAAUAUAUAGCACAAUAAAACAAUUGCUGUAAAGCAGUGGUAUUUCACAGAUUCUUGAGUCGGACUGCUUAGGUUCAAAUCAUGGUCCUGCAACUUGCUUCCUAAACUUAGAGAAGUUAUUUAGCCUCCCUUUGCCUCAGUUUGUGCAUAUAUAUUAUCCAAAUAAUAAUCCUACCUAUUUCAUAGUGCUGUUUCCAGGAUUACAGAAGACAUAACGCACUUGGAACAGUGAUUGGAACGUAGUAUGUAUCUGAUAAAUGUUUAUCAUUAUUUUGUUACCUUUAUUUUGGAAACAUAUUCCAAUGUGUCCCAGGUUCUUGAAUUUUGUAUUUACAGCACUUGUGACUAUAAAGACAAUACAUGUUUUUUAAAUGACUGAUUCAAUUAAUGAAUAGACUACACCUGUUGAUUCAUUAGUUGAUACAAUAGAUACUUAUUGUGUAUCUACAAUGUUCUAUUGCUAUGCUAGUUUCUGAGGUUUUCUUGGUGACUCAGAUGAGGAUUCAGCCCUUUCAGAGAUAAUUGUCUCACUGGAAAGAGUGAGACUACAAUUGUGGAGCAAACACAUAAACGGGCAACUAUCUCAAAGGAUAAUCAUAAGGAAUAUAAUAAGGGAAGUACCAAGUGCUAUGGGAACAGAGGAGAGACCCUUUCUCAGAUUUGGGAAAUUUUAACAUUAUCUAAGCCAAGUCCAGCAGCUACCUAGGUCACUGGAUUGGUGGAAAAGAGAAUACAAGAUAAUGUUUAAGCAGAGUACACACAAAAAGUUUUGGAAGUCAGGAAGAGCAGGGCCUAUUGGAGGAACUUAAAAAGAGCAGUGUGACUAGAUGUGAGGCAGCAAAAAGGGACAGACUCAGAUUAGAAAAGAUCUUAUGAGUAUUUUAGUUAGUUUGGACUUUAUUACAAGAGAAAAGGUUCGUUAUUGAAGGUCUCGAUUAGAAGAGUACCUUGAUCAGAACUGUGUUUUAACAAUAUAAUUCUGGCUGAAGUAUAAGAAUAAACUGGAUGGCCGGUCGCGGUGGCUCAUGCCUCUAAUCCCAACACUUUGGGAGCCCGAGGCAGGCAGAUCACCUGAGGUCAGGAGUUUGAGACCCGCCUGACCAACAUGGAGAAACCCUGUCUCUACUAGAAGUAGAAAAUUAGCCGGGCAUGGUGGCACUUGCCUGUAAUCCCAGCUACUCAGGGGGCUGAGGCAGGAGAAUCACAUGGACCCAGGAGGCAGAAGUUGCAGUGAGCCAAGAUCUCACCAUUGCACUCCAGCCUGGGCAACAAGAAUGAAACUCCAUCUAAAUAAAUAAAUAAAUUGGACAAGGCCUAAACUGAGUGCAGGGAGACCAGUUUAGAAGCAUUGCAGAAGUCGAGGAGAUUGAGAGAGACAGGACUAAGUAAGUGGAAGUGAGGGUGAAGAAAUGAGGACUGGAGACAAAUCAUCAAAGCCUGAUGAUAGAUUGGAAGUCCAGAAAGUCUCACUUUCUGAGAGACAGUUGAAUAGAUAGCAGUACUGGGUAUGGGGGUAGGAAAAUUAGUACGCUAGAGUUGGUGAGAAAAUUAUAAGUUCAGAUUUGGAUAUACUUAGUUUCAGUUGCUUAUGACAUUCAAAAAGAGAAAACAGCUAGAUGAAUUAAUCCAGGGUUUGGGUUUGCCAGCCAGUAAUUGCAUGAAUAAGCAUCAAAAUGUCUGAGGAUAUUGUCAAUGGUCUCAUUGAAGUGAUGGCUUCUGGAAUCUAAAUAGAAAAGGAAGGGAAAAGAGAAAGUCUAGAUAAACGUGAGAAAAUAGAUAGGUGACUGAAAAACAAAGAGGUAUUGCCAAAGAGCAGGCACAAUGACAAUAAGUAGGCAGAAUGGAAGAACUGAAGUUAGGGUUACAUUACUGGAAUUUAUCAUUUCAGGGAUGAAUCCUUCCAGAAUGAUAACAAGGACCAAAUUGUGGUCGUGAGAAUGGGCAACAGAAAUGGAGUAAAGGCAAAAGUCAACAGAGAUAACUAAAUCAAGAAACCAAGGGGUCAGAGUGUUGUAUAUAACCUAUAAGUGCAUUUCACAUUAUUCAAGAUGGUGGCAGAACUCUGGAAGGAAAGGAACUCUAAAAAUGGCAAUGCAGCCCUUCAAUCAAUAUGAUGUAGCACCUGGAAUGUUAGUAGAUGACACCAGGGAGGGUAUAUUGAGAUAAAGAAUAACAGAAAACUCUCCGGGUUUUAGACUUUCUGGGGGUCUCUGGAGAAGCCUAGAUAUGCCCAAAAUUUAAAGUAUUCUUUUAGAAAAAAUAUGGGCAGGGCAGAUAAUCAAGCCAUGCAACAGAAUUCAUAGUGGGCUACAUUCCCAGGAAUGAAGUGAAAACAGACUCGUUAUCAGUACAUGCAGGUUAUAUCCACCUGGGAGCCCCAAGCAUCUCAUGCAGUUCAUUUCUUCCCUGGUUUUGAAAAAUUGGCACUGAAAGUAGAAACAGUGAAUGUAAGAAAACAGGAAACUCCUAAUGGGAAUUUAUUCUUUCUGAAAGGCUAUUUUUAAAGCAAGACUUUUUUAUUUUUUAAGAAAAAAAAUGGUUCAAGGCAUUUUCCCCCUUCAGAAUCCAGGUGGAAGAAAAUGCAAAAACAAAUCAGUAAAAAGAACUGGAAAUUCUCCACUCUCCUGGCAUGUUCCAGUACAAACAUCAUGGGAGGUGUGGAAAACUUCACAAGGCAACAUUUCAUAGGAUCAUGGGCUUUUUGAGCUGGAAGGGACCCUGGAUCAAAUGGACCGAUGCUUCAUUUUGAAUGAGAGUGCCCUGAAGAGGUCAACAGAAUGGAAGAUAGUCAGUCUGAAACAUUGCCAAUUAGAAAAAUCAUUCCUUAUUUUUCACAAAUAACCUUUUCAAUUUCAUUAAAAAAUGAAAUUCUAAUAAUUUUAAUGAAAAUCUUAGAUAAAUUUUAUUUUGGGAAUAUAACUAUGCAAGUUAUAUAUUAUGGCAAUAUAACUCUAAUCAGAAUUUUAACAACAAUUUUACUCCUAAUAAGACCUUGUUCAUUUAAUAGCUUAUAUAAAGUUGUUAUGUAAUCUUGACUCUGAACUUUUGAAAUAGUUCUAUAACUUUGUGGAAUGACACAUAUCUUUACUGAAAACUCACUUCCCUGUUAAUGCAAUUAGCAAAUCAGAAGUAAUGCCAAUUAGGAAGCUUAAAGUGAUUUGUUCUAUUGGUGUUAUAAUUUACAAUUUUUCUCACAGUAAUCAUGCAAUAGUCUAGCUUUUCCUUCUUUCACUUAAAUCUUCAUCCAUAUAUACUCGACGUGUACCUAACAUGAUAAAGUAGAAAGAAGGGAACAUUUUCUUGAUUAUUGGAAGGCAGGUAAAUACCCAAUCUAACAUGCUCUUCUCUUCACCAUCUGAUAAUAGGACAUAACUUGCUUAAUUUUAUCUCCAGGAAAAUCUCACUUUGGCUUUGUUCUAGUAUCCUAAGACAGUUCAAAUUUUUUAAAUGAGCAGAACUCUUUAUUCAAAUGAAAUCUUACCAGGUAUGGAAAAUAGAUAAAAGCUGAAGUUUCAGUUAAGGUAGACAUGGCACAUGGUCCACAGCUCAGCCCACAUACCUUUCCGGUCCCCAAGUCUCCAUCUCUCAUAGCUCUAAAAUAUUUUGUGGAGCUGGGUUUGAAAACAAGUGUCAUAAUAGGAUCUACAAAAAUCCGAGGCAAAUAAAUAUCUUAGAUUAGUUUAUUUGCACACUCACAGACACCUCCUCCACUCACAUGUGUACACACGAUAUAUAUAUAUAUAUAUGUAUAUAUAUAUGUAUAUAAGUUAUGCAUAAAGAAAGACCUGGCUAUUUAAAAAUAGCACUAUAGAAACCAAAUAGAAAAUAUUAUUUCUGAUGCAUUUGGAAAUGUUAAUGGAGAAUAAAUUUCAAUGGUUUACGAGGUUUAUGGUACAUAGCAUGGUCUGGUUUACACAAAUUGACACUGGCUUCUUUUGACCAAGAGCUGGAUUUUAUUUAUAUUCUGGUUGGAACCUUUGACUCAUAUGAUCAGACACCCACAUUACCCCUUUAGUCUAAAAAAAAUCCACUUGGAUACACAAGAGUGAAGAAGGUAGCAUGUUGCUGUCUCCUUUGUGGAUUGUGGUUAGUGUAACACGAUCGUGAACAAAAGGAUCAUGAAACCACACGGUGUGGGCAUGGAAUACUUCAAAGUAGCAGCUGCUUUCAAACCCAAAAGGUUUACACAGGCAAAUUGAGCGUGUGGCUAGUUAGUGUCCUAAGAUGACUUGAGUGGAGAUUGAACCCAAGGGAAAGGUGAAGGGCACUAAAAGAAAGAUGCCAUCUUUGGCUGAACACCUACUGUAUGCAAGAGACUUACCAUGUAUAGUCCCUUUUUAUUCAUAGUACAAUCCUACUAGGUUAACUUCUGUUUACAAAAGAGGACACUAUAGUUGGGAAAGGUUGAUUUAGUUUAUCUAAAUAUCAUACUAUCUCCUUGCUCUUCCCCAAACUUGCCAAGCAUGCUCCCACCUCAAGGCCUUUGGUAUUUGCUUUUAUUUCUGCAUAGGAUUCCCUUCCAACAGAUAGUCUCAUAUCUCAGUUUCUUAUACCACACUGUUUCCGCUCAACUUUAUCUUCUUAGUGGGGCUUUCUUUGAUCACCUUUCAUAAGAUAUCUCUCUUUGACACUUGCUAUUCACUUCCUGUGCUUUAUGUUUAAUGGCAUCUAUUGCUACCUGGCAUUAUAUAAACGCAUAUUCUUCAGUUUUUCAUUUGUUUUUCACAGUGGAAUAUAAACUCUAUUAGAAUAGGGACCUUGUUCAUAUAGUUUACUGCUUUGGCACCAAUACCUGGCAAAGCAUGUGUCUGGAACAUAGCAGAUGAUCAAUAAAUAUUUGCUAAUAAACAAAGGAAUACAUGUGUACCAAGAAAUUAAAUAAAAGGCAGAGGAGCAGGGCAUUUUAUUCCAAUUUUAGUCUUUUAAGAACUGAACAUUUUAAUCUUUUGCUUAUGCCCUGUGAGUCCCUUGACCUCCCUGGACUCAAAUUGUCACUUGGAAGAUUCUGUCUUACAGGUUGAGUAGCAAAGUGGAUAGCUGUUGGAGAUACUAAUACACAUAUCUCUUCUUUCAUGGUAAGUGUAUCAGAAUAUUCUUUGGGAGAACUAUCUCUUUCAUAUCUUAGCAAAUUAAGUGGAUUCUUCUCAUCCCCAGCUCCAUGGAUGAGUCUUGACUGGCUAAAGUCAAUUAGUGAAGACCAUAAUUUUGGCCAAUGUAAUUGAGUCAGGGGUGGUCACAUGUCUGAUACAAGCCAAUGAGAUCAAGGAGUCAUUUUUUUCUGCCUUCUAGCAAACAUGCAUCCUCAUACUUCAGAAAAUGUUCUAAUAGAGAUGAUCAUUUUUUUCUUUUGGGGCACAAAAAAGUGAUUGUGAAGAUGUCAAGUAGGAAAAUUCUGAGUUGUAGCUAGGGUUUAUUUAACGAAUACUGAAUCUCUACUAUGUGAGAGCUGUCAGGUACUAUUUUAGACAUUGAAGAUAUGAUGGUUAACAGUAGAGAUAAGGUCUUUGUUCUUAUGGAGGUAAUAUUUUAUGGGGAAGACAACAAAAUAAGUAAUCCAAUGGAUAUGAUAACUUCAGCUAGUGAUACACGUUGUGAAGAAAAUUAAAAUACAUUACCUAAUGGGGAAUAAAUGAGGGGCUUUACAUUGCGCUAACAGGUGGGGCCUUUCUGGGGAGAAUUUCCAGCUCUCCAUAUACCUGCCCCUUUCAUCAAAAGAAUAUAAUGAUUUGACUUUUUAAAUAAAUAAAUUAUAUUACUUUGAGUGAUUUUUGGUCAUAAGCAAGUAACAGCUAUUGUAAAAUUGUAAAAUAAAAAUUAUAAUAUAUUAUGGUCAAUAACAUUACCAUAUGACCAUCCUGUAUAUUUUAAAAUUUUUUAUCAAAUAUGUCAGAAAAUACCUUCUUUCAUCUCAUUGACCUCUACUGAGUGAAUGCGAUCAUCUCUAAGCCAAUCACCUUGUCCAGGAUUAUGGGCCUCACUAAUUGGCUUAAGCCUACCCAUGGACUUGAGACAACCCUAUGACUGCAGUCAGGGAGGCUAAGAAAUGUUACAAAGGAAGUGUCAUGAGAACAGCCAGAAAAAUGGGGGGAUUGGAAUAAAAUAGACAAUGAAAUCUAUAAUCUCUUCUUUCUGCCCCAUGCUACAAACACACUAAAUAUCUGGACAAGUAUUAACACAACUCUAAGAAAAAAAUGUGACAUCCCAGGGUGUCAGAACUUAGGAGAAGCUCAAGGCACAGGAAUAAUCAGAAGCUGAGAGCACAGCAGUGUAAAAGAGAACAAGUCCCAAACACAAAAUAUAGGGCAGAAGAUACAGUCUUUACUCCGUGAAAGAAGGAAUGCUGAAAUUAAGCUCCUGUAUAAAUCUGGAUUUAAUUAUGAAAAAAGGUCUAGAAAAACUCCACCUACAGGCCAGACAAUAGAAAACAACAAUAAAAAUGCUUGUCAUUCACCUGGGAAUGUGCAUAGGAGAAAGGUCACCCCAGUCUUCAACAAUCCAGGCUGACAAAUUGUCAUUAAAACUGGUCAGAAGAAGUUAAACCCUUGGAGAUCUAAUCAUUCAGAAGGGGACACUUUCAUAGCCUCAGGCACAUAAAACUUUCAUAAGAGGAGAAGAAACAUUGAAGAUAAAUUGACAAUUCAAAUUUAAAUAACCCACAAGGAAAUAAACCACAGAGGAAACAUCAUUAAAGUCAGCUACUACUUAAAAAUGACAGUUACAAAAACAACCUGGAUUUUCUAGGGGACAGGGCCUGGCUUCUUAUGGUCAGGAGCUGAGGUGGGAAUAUUUGGAAGCAGUGCCAGUGUGGAAUGAAGUCAAAGCCCCAGAGGCUUGGAACAAUGGCUGGAGCAGCUAAGAGUGAGGAUUGCUAAACCAGAGUGGCAGGAACUCUGUUGAGGCCAACAGGCUGUGGGAAUUUCCCUAAAGCCAGCCAGGUUCCUAUAACAUUAAGGUUGAGGGGAUAUUGAUUUUCAAAAUGGCAAAGAGAAGGGAAGCUGAGUCUGAGACACCUGCUCUAAGCCAAAAUAAGUGAAGCAUCUGAGAUUGUGCCUGGAGAGGGGAACACAUGGCUGACAGCAUGUGGAGAGUUGCUCAGAAUUGACUCCGAAAGCCGAAAAUAAGCAUGACUUCAGAAACCAGAUGGCCAAAAAGUGAGAAGUCAAGCAAUUGUAGUGCAUGAUUGUCAAAAGAAACAAUAUAUAAAACAUUUAAACACCAAAAGACUGACAAUAUAAAAUUUGGCAGAUAUAAGACUAUGUAUAAAAAUACUUUUAAAAAUAAAGUAUGCAAUUACAAAUGGUGAAUAUACCAAAAAUAUCAAGCAUAAACACUUUUUAAUUUUAUUUUUUCCAGCUUUAUUGAGAUAUAGUUAACAAAUACUGUGUAUAUUUAACUUUAUGUGUGUAUAUAUAGAGAGAGAGAAAGAGAGAGAGACAUACACACACACACACACACACACACACACAUUGUGAAAUAACCACCAGAAUUAAGCUAGUUAACAUAGCCAUCGCUUCUUGUAGUUACCAUUUUCUUUCUUAUUUUAUUGUGGUGAGAAUACUAAAGAUCUACUCUUUUUUAUUUUUUAUUUUUUUUAAAGGCAGAGUCUCACUCUGUCACCUGGGCUGGAGUGCAGUGGCGCAAUCUCGGUUCACUGCAACCUCCGCCUCCUGGGUUCAAGCGAUUCUCCUGCCUCAGCCUCUCGAGUAGCUGGGAUUACAGGUACCCACCACUAUGCCCAGCUAAUUUUUUGGAUUUUCAGCAGAAACGGGAUUUCACCAUGUUGGCCAGGCUGGUCUCGAGCUCCUGACCUCAUGAUUUGCCCACCUUGGCCUUCCAAAGUGCUGGGAUUACAGGUGUGAGCCACCGCGCCCAACCCUAAAGCUCUACUCUCUUAGCAGUUUUCAAGUAUACAAUACAAUAUUGUUAACUAUAGCACAUUGCUGUACAUUAGAUUUCCAGAACUUAUCCAUCUUGCAUAACUGAAAUUCUAUAGUCUUUGACCAAUAUCUCCCCAUUUUCCCCUUCCUCCAACCCCUGGAAACCACCAUUCUACUCUCUGAUUCUAUAAGGUUGACUAUUUUAAAUGCCACAGAGACUUUUCAAAAACAGAUAGAAACUCUAAAAGCUAUUGUGGAUAUGUUUCAGGUGAAAUUAUAAUAAGUUACAGAAAGAACAACAGAAUACACUCCAUGUGGUUAAGCCCAUUAGAGAAAUAUACUCUUCUCGUGGAGAGAAGGUGGUGAGCAGGUUGGGGAAAGCUUCGGAUUGCCUGUGACUCUGUCUUUAGUAAAUCACCUCCAGAUGAAGUAGGAAGCAAAAUGCAUAUCUAUCUAUCUAACUAUCUAUCUAUCUAUCUAUCUAUCUAUCUAUCUAUCUAUCUAUCUAUUUAUCUAUCUUUUAACCUUCAUGGUUUCCAAUCCAGUUUUACCAGUAAUAAUGCUGAUAUAUUUAAUCUGAGUCUUGUAUAUAUUUUUUAGGUUUACUUUUUAGUUCUGUUAUUCUUUCAACUUAUUUUUCCAUGUUUUAUUUUGAAAAAUUUUAAACUACAUACAAUUGCAAGAAUAAGGCAAUGAGUACCCAUAUACUCUUUAUCUAGAAUCACCAAUUGUUAGUAUUUUUCACAUACACUCUAUUUCUCUUUAUAAAUAUUUGCAUAUUCUCAGAAUCUUUUGAGAGUACGUUGAAGAUAUCAUGAAUCUUUGCUCCUAAAUUCUUCUGUAUAUGUAUACUAACAACAAAGACCUUCUCUUACAUAAUCACAGUAUUGCUAUCAACUUCAAGAAAUUUAGUACUGACACAAUACUAUUACCUAAUAUACAGUCCAUAUUCUAACUUUGCCAAUUGUUGCAGAAAUGCUAUUUAUAACCAUUGUUUUUCCUGAUCCAGGGUCCAAUCCAGGAUUAUAGCUUGCAUUGGAUUGUGACAUCUCUUUAGUCUUCUUUAAUCUGGAACAACUGAACAACUCCUCAGUCUUUCUUUGGCUUUCAUGACAUGAACAUUUCUGAAGACCACCAUUCAGUUGUUCUGUGAAUGCCCUCUUCGUGACAAGGAUGUCGUUUCUCACCCUCAAACCCAACGCCUGAUGCUUAAGCCUGGUAACUUCAAGAAAUC